AAUAGAUACCCUGGUAGUCCACGCCGUAAACGAUGAGUGCUAAGUGUUAGAGGGUUUCCGCCCUUUAGUGCUGCAGCUAACGCAUUAAGCACUCCGCCUGGGGAGUACGGUCGCAAGACUGAAACUCAAAGGAAUUGACGGGGGCCCGCACAAGCGGUGGAGCAUGUGGUUUAAUUCGAAGCAACGCGAAGAACCUUACCAGGUCUUGACAUCCUCUGACAACUCUAGAGAUAGAGCGUUCCCCUUCGGGGGACAGAGUGACAGGUGGUGCAUGGUUGUCAUCAGCUCGUGUCGUGAGAUGUUGGGUUAAGUCCCGCAACGAGCGCAACCCUUGAUCUUAGUUGCCAGCAUUUAGUUGGGCACUCUAAGGUGACUGCCGGUGACAAACCGGAGGAAGGUGGGGAUGACGUCAAAUCAUCAUGCCCCUUAUGACCUGGGCUACACACGUGCUACAAUGGAUGGUACAAAGGGCUGCAAGACCGCGAGGUUAAGCCAAUCCCAUAAAACCAUUCUCAGUUCGGAUUGUAGG
rnacentral:rRNA from 1 species